GUAGGGAAUCUUCCACAAUGGACGCAAGUCUGAUGGAGCAACGCCGCGUGAGUGAAGAAGGUUUUCGGAUCGUAAAGCUCUGUUGUUGGUGAAGAAGGAUAGAGGCAGUAACUGGUCUUUAUUUGACGGUAAUCAACCAGAAAGUCACGGCUAACUACGUGCCAGCAGCCGCGGUAAUACGUAGGUGGCAAGCGUUGUCCGGAUUUAUUGGGCGUAAAGCGAGCGCAGGCGGAAUGAUAAGUCUGAUGUGAAAGCCCACGGCUCAACCGUGGAACUGCAUCGGAAACUGUCAUUCUUGAGUGCAGAAGAGGAGAGUGGAACUCCAUGUGUAGCGGUGGAAUGCGUAGAUAUAUGGAAGAACACCAGUGGCGAAGGCGGCUCUCUGGUCUGCAACUGACGCUGAGGCUCGAAAGCAUGGGUAGCGAACAGGAUUAGAAACCCCGGUAGUCC
rnacentral:rRNA from 1 species